UUAAGCGACUAAGCGUACACGGUGGAUGCCCUGGCAGUCAGAGGCGAUGAAGGACGUGCUAAUCUGCGAAAAGCGUCGGUAAGGUGAUAUGAACCGUUACAGCCGGCGAUGUCCGAAUGGGGAAACCCAGUGUGAUUCGUCACACUAUCGUUAACUGAAUACAUAGGUUAACGAGGCGAACCGGGGGAACUGAAACAUCUAAGUACCCCGAGGAAAAGAAAUCAACCGAGAUUCCCCCAGUAGCGGCGAGCGAACGGGGAGCAGCCCAGAGUCUGAAUCAGCUUGUGUGUUAGUGGAACGGUCUGGAAAGUCCGACGGUACAGGGUGAUAGUCCCGUACACCAAAAUGCACAGGCUGUGAACUCGAAGAGUAGGGCGGGACACGUGGUAUCCUGUCUGAAUAUGGGGGGACCAUCCUCCAAGGCUAAAUACUCCUGACUGACCGAUAGUGAACCAGUACCGUGAGGGAAAGGCGAAAAGAACCCCGGCGAGGGGAGUGAAAAAGAACCUGAAACCGUGUACGUACAAGCAGUGGGAGCACCUUCGGGUGUGACUGCGUACCUUUUGUAUAAUGGGUCAGCGACUUAUAUUCUGUAGCAAGGUUAACCGUAUAGGGGAGCCGCAGGGAAACCGAGUCUUAACUGGGCGUUAAGUUGCAGGGUAUAGACCCGAAACCCGGUGAUCUAGCCAUGGGCAGGUUGAAGGUUGGGUAACACUAACUGGAGGACCGAACCGACUAAUGUUGAAAAAUUAGCGGAUGACUUGUGGCUGGGGGUGAAAGGCCAAUCAAACCGGGAGAUAGCUGGUUCUCCCCGAAAGCUAUUUAGGUAGCGCCUCGUGAAUUCAUCUUCGGGGGUAGAGCACUGUUUCGGCUAGGGGGUCAUCCCGACUUACCAACCCGAUGCAAACUACGAAUACCGAAGAAUGUUAUCACGGGAGACACACGGCGGGUGCUAACGUCCGUCGUGAAGAGGGAAACAACCCAGACCGCCAGCUAAGGUCCCAAAGUCAUGGUUAAGUGGGAAACGAUGUGGGAAGGCACAGACAGCCAGGAUGUUGGCUUAGAAGCAGCCAUCAUUUAAAGAAAGCGUAAUAGCUCACUGGUCGAGUCGGCCUGCGCGGAAGAUGUAACGGGGCUAAACCAUGCACCGAAGCUGCGGCAGCGACACUAUGUGUUGUUGGGUAGGGGAGCGUUCUGUAAGCCUGCGAAGGUGACCUGUGAGGGUUGCUGGAGGUAUCAGAAGUGCGAAUGCUGACAUAAGUAACGAUAAAGCGGGUGAAAAGCCCGCUCGCCGGAAGACCAAGGGUUCCUGUCCAACGUUAAUCGGGGCAGGGUGAGUCGACCCCUAAGGCGAGGCCGAAAGGCGUAGUCGAUGGGAAACAGGUUAAUAUUCCUGUACUUGGUGUUACUGCGAAGGGGGGACGGAGAAGGCUAUGUUAGCCGGGCGACGGUUGUCCCGGUUUAAGCAUGUAGGCUGGUUAUCCAGGCAAAUCCGGAUAAUCAAGGCUGAGGUGUGAUGACGAGGCACUACGGUGCUGAAGUAACAAAUGCCCUGCUUCCAGGAAAAGCCUCUAAGCAUCAGGUAACAUCAAAUCGUACCCCAAACCGACACAGGUGGUCAGGUAGAGAAUACCAAGGCGCUUGAGAGAACUCGGGUGAAGGAACUAGGCAAAAUGGUGCCGUAACUUCGGGAGAAGGCACGCUGGUGUGUAGGUGAAGUCCCUGCGGAUGGAGCUGAGACCAGUCGAAGAUACCAGCUGGCUGCAACUGUUUAUUAAAAACACAGCACUGUGCAAACACGAAAGUGGACGUAUACGGUGUGACGCCUGCCCGGUGCCGGAAGGUUAAUUGAUGGGGUUAUCCGUAAGGAGAAGCUCUUGAUCGAAGCCCCGGUAAACGGCGGCCGUAACUAUAACGGUCCUAAGGUAGCGAAAUUCCUUGUCGGGUAAGUUCCGACCUGCACGAAUGGCGUAAUGAUGGCCAGGCUGUCUCCACCCGAGACUCAGUGAAAUUGAACUCGCUGUGAAGAUGCAGUGUACCCGCGGCAAGACGGAAAGACCCCGUGAACCUUUACUAUAGCUUGACACUGAACAUUGAGCCUUGAUGUGUAGGAUAGGUGGGAGGCUUUGAAGCGUGGACGCCAGUCUGCGUGGAGCC
rnacentral:rRNA from 1 species